UACGAAGGGUGCAAGCGUUACUCGGAAUUACUGGGCGUAAAGCGUGCGUAGGCGGUUUGUUAAGUCUGCUGUGAAAUCCCCGGGCUCAACCUGGGAAUUGCGAUGGAGACUGCAAGGCUGGAGUCUGGCAGAGGGGGGUAGAAUUCCACGUGUGAGCAGUGAAAUGCGUAGAGAUGUGGAGGAACACCGAUGGCGAAGGCAGCCCCCUGGGUCAAGACUGACGCUCAUGCACGAAAGCGUGGGGAGCAAACGAGG
rnacentral:rRNA from 1 species